rnacentral:rRNA from 1 species
GCUAAUACCGAAUAUUGAAACAUAAGUGGCAUCACUGAGUUUUGAAAGAAUUUCGGUGGAGGAUGACUUCGCGGCCUAUCAGCUAGUUGGUGAGGUAAUGGCUCACCAAGGCAACGACGGGUAGCCGGCCUGAGAGGGCGACCGGCCACACUGGGACUGAGACACGGCCCA